CACGUAGGGUGCAAGCGUUGUCCGGAUUUAUUGGGCGUAAAGAGCUCGUAGGCGGCUUGUUGCGUCGACUGUGAAAACCCGCGGCUUAACCGCGGGCUUGCAGUUGAUACGGGCAGGCUAGAGUUCGGUAGGGGAGACUGGAAUUCCUGGUGUAGCGGUGAAAUGCGCAGAUAUCAGGAGGAACACCGGUGGCGAAGGCGGGUCUCUGGGCCGAUACUGACGCUGAGGAGCGAAAGCGUGGGGAGCGAACAGG
rnacentral:rRNA from 1 species